CCUCGCACUGGAAGACCUAGCCGCUGGGCCAUGGUGACCGACGGCGAUGAUGACGGUGGUGGCUACCUCGACGAUGGAUAAAAUCCGCUCCGCCCCUCCUCUUAUCCGUCGACGACCGCUUGAAUCCCGAGAGGAGAGGAGAGGAGUGGGAGAUCCAUGGCGGCGGAAAGAUCCGCGCCUGGAUCGGACCUGCUCGUCAAGGAGACCCACGCCAUGGAGCUGCUCGUCAAUGUUCCACCCUGGCACACAUCCAACAUCGCCAUGGACCAGUAGCUCAAGCCGUCUUCUUCCAGAUGGUGAUGGGGUUCCCUCACCAUCUGCAGGUCAUCAUCCUUAAGGGCUCCACCAUCUGCAGUGUCUACAGUGGACUAUUUGCAUCUUCAGUGCAAAUACCUGAUUGUAUAUGGAUGGAUUGUAGGGUCUAACCACCUUGAUUUGAUUCGGGCUGGAGCAGCAGCAGCAGGUCCUUCCUUCCAUGGAGGGCAUCCACAACAUGACCCGCACAAGGAGCUCCAAGCAGACAAAGGUACCUGCUCCAUUGUUGUACAUGUUCGUGAGUUCUUUGUGAUGAUGAAACCACUGAUUGGAUGUCCUGAUUAGAUACAAUCCAUUCCAUUGAACUGUGGGGACAACAUGAGGCACAUGUCUCGUUUAAAU